rnacentral:rRNA from 1 species
GAUGAAUGCUGGCGGCGUGCCUAACACAUGCAAGUCGAGCGGUAACAGGUCUAGUUUACUAGAUGCUGACGAGCGGCGGACGGCUGAGUAACGCGUGGGAACAUGCCCCAAAGUGAGGAAUAACUGCCCGAAAGGGUGGCUAAUGCCGCAUAUGGUCUUCGGAUUAAAGGAUUUAUCCGCUUCGGGAGUGGCCUGCGUACGAUUAGAUAGUUGGUGAGGUAAAGGCUCACCAAGUCGACGAUCGUUAACUGUUCUGAGAGGAUGAUCAGUCAGACUGGAACUGAGACACGGUCCAG